GACGAACGCUGGCGGCGUGCUUAACACAUGCAAGUCGAACGGAAAGGCCCUGCUUGCAGGGUGCUCGAGUGGCGAACGGGUGAGUAACACGUGGGUGAUCUGCCCCUUACUUUGGGAUAAGCCUGGGAAACUGGGUCUAAUACUGGAUAGGACCAUGCUGUAGGUGGUGUGGUGGAAAGAUUAGUUUCGGUAAGGGAUGAGCUCGCGGCCUAUCAGCUUGUUGGUGGGGUAAUGGCCUACCAAGGCGUCGACGGGUAGCCGGCCUGAGAGGGUGGACAGCCACAUUGGGACUGAGAUACGGCCCAGACUCCUACGGGAGGCAGCAGUGGGGAAUAUUGCACAAUGGGCGCAAGCCUGAUGCAGCGACGCCGCGUGGGGGAUGACGGCCUUCGGGUUGUAAACUCCUUUCUGCCAUGACGAAGCCCUUGUGGUGACGGUAGUGGUAGAAGAAGCACCGGCUAACUACGUG
rnacentral:rRNA from 1 species